CCAAACACUGCACAAGUUGUGUCUGUAAAAAAUUACUACUAUUAUUAGGUAUAAAGUUCCAUUGUUCGGGUUCUGUUUCUAUUGCUUCUGUAAUAAUUCUGUAUUUCUGUAAUGAUGAGGAAAAGGGAGAGCAAGAAAUGCAGAAAAUACAAAGAACAAGAGUGGAAAGAAGAGAGAAAUUUUUGAUGAAAAAUUGCAGACUUUCAUAUGAUGUGACAAGAAAUGUUCAUCUAUAUCCAUACAGUGUGUUAUGAAACUUUAUUUGAUGCUCAGCGAAUUUUUAAAACUAUGAUAAUCCAUGUGAGUUUAAAAUGCUGCUUAAAGUUUGUUUUUCUGACAUAAAAAUCAAGGGUAUGUGCUUUAAUUUUAAAUAAUUUAUAUUUUUAUUGAUGUUACAUAUUUAAUACGGAAAAAUAGAUCACAAAUAUGACCAACAGACUUCACAAUUAGUAUUGUUAAAUAUUGUACAGCAUAUAAAAUAAUGAAAUACAUGUUAUAAAAA